rnacentral:rRNA from 1 species
GAUGAACGCUGGCGGCGUGCCUAAUACAUGCAAGUCGAGCGAACAGACGAGGAGCUUGCUCCUCUGACGUUAGCGGCGGACGGGUGAGUAACACGUGGAUAACCUACCUAUAAGACUGGGAUAACUUCGGGAAACCGGAGCUAAUACCGGAUAAUAUAUUGAACCGCAUGGUUCAAUAGUGAAAGACGGUUUUGCUGUCACUUAUAGAUGGAUCCGCGCCGCAUUAGCUAGUUGGUAAGGUAACGGCUUACCAAGGCAACGAUGCGUAGCCGACCUGAGAGGGUGAUCGGCCACAAUGGAACUGAGACACGGUCCAGACUCAUACGGGAGGCAGCAGUAGGGAAUCUUCCGCAAUGGGCGAAAGCCUGACGGAGCAACGCCGCGUGAGUGAUGAAGGUCUUCGGAUCGUAAAACUCUGUUAUUAGGGAAGAACAAAUGUGUAAGUAACUAUGCACGUCUUGACGGUACCUAAUCAGAAAGCCACGGCUAACUACGUG